rnacentral:pre_miRNA from 1 species
AAUUUCAGCUGAAAAAGUCAUGAACAUAAAAGUUGUAGAACUCAUCAAGACAUACAAAUUUUAUUUUGAUCAUUUCUUCAUCCGACAAACUGAUAGUAACAGUGUUCACAAAAUUUGCAUAUCUCUCUUAUAGUUUAUAAAACCAUAUGAGAGAUAUGUAAAUUUGAACAAUGUUACUAUCACUUUAUCGGAUGAAGAAAUGAUCGAAAUAAAAGUUAUAAAUCUUGAUGAGUUAUACAACUUUGUUGUUGAUGACUUUUUCAGUUGAAAUU